GACGAACGCUGGCGGCGUGCCUAAUACAUGCAAGUCGAACGAGAGCGACCGGUGCUUGCACUGGUCAAUCUAGUGGCGAACGGGUGAGUAACACGUGGGUAACCUGCCCAUCAGAGGGGGAUAACAUCCGGAAACGGAUGCUAAAACCGCAAAGGUCUUCGAACCGCAUGGUUUGAAGAGGAAAAGAGGCGCAAGCUUCUGCUGAUGGAUGGACCCGCGGUGCAUUAGCUAGUUGGUGAGGUAACGGCUCACCAAGGCCGUGAUGCAUAGCCGACCUGAGAGGGUGAUCGGCCACAUUGGGACUGAGACACGGCCCAAACUCCUACGGGAGGCAGCAGUAGGGAAUCUUCCGCAAUGGACGCAAGUCUGACGGAGCAACGCCGCGUGAGUGAAGAAGGUUUUCGGAUCGUAAAACUCUGUUGUUAGAGAAGAACAAGUGCUAGAGUAACUGUUAGCGCCUUGACGGUAUCUAACCAGAAAGCCACGGCUAACUACGUG
rnacentral:rRNA from 1 species